rnacentral:lncRNA from 1 species
UCUUUUGUCACUCACAUAAACACAAUAGGAUCUGAUCACUGCCCAAUAAUAAUUAAUGUGAGCUAUAGAAUAAAGCAUCAUUCGGGAAGGAGAAGUAUGCAUAGAUCAAUAAGAUUUCACUAUGAAGAGUUUUAGAGUCAAUACGAUGAGUGCAGGAACAUAAUCCAAGACAUAUGAGUGCUAACAAUGCUUACAUCUCCACUGAUCCAGCUUCUACAUUCUUGUCAAAUAUUCUGGCGUCCAAGUGAAUUUGAAAGCCUGGAGUUGUAAUUGUUUUGGUAACAGAAGAAAGAAAUUAAAAGACUUCUAGGCAAAUUGGAAGAUCUCAAAAGAGGCCCUAUCGAAAACAUCAAUCCUUGUGAGAUGAAGCAGGUGAAGCAGCAGUUAUACAAAUAUUUUUUGAAAAAAUAUUGGCAUUAGAGGUCUAAAGUCAGCUAAGAAUUACGGAUAAAUUAAGCACAAAUUUUUCCAUGCCUACGCCACAACAAGGAAGAAAUUUU